rnacentral:rRNA from 1 species
UACAGAGGUCCCAAGCGUUGUUCGGAUUUAUUGGGCGUAAAGGGUGCGUAGGCGGCGGAGUAAGUUGGGUGUGAAAUCCCGGGGCUCAACCUCGGAAUUGCAUUCAAUACUGCUUCGCUCGAGUACUGGAGAGGAGACUGGAAUUUACGGUGUAGCAGUGAAAUGCGUAGAUAUCGUAAGGAAGGCCGGUGGCGAAGGCGGCCUGCUGGGCUAUGGCUGACACUGAGGCGCGACAGCGUGGGGAGCAAACAGG